UGAGCAAUCUGCCCUUCUCAUCGGAAUAAGCGUUGGAAACGACGUCUAAUGCCGAAUACGACCUCCUUUCGCAUGAUCGGAGGUGGAAAGCUCCGGCGGAGAAGGAUGAGCUCGCGGCCUAUCAGCUAGUUGGUGUGGGUAACGCCCACCAAGGCGACGACGGGUAGCCGGCCUGAGAGGGUGACCGGCCACACUGGGACUGAGACACGGCCCAGACCUCCGUACGGGA
rnacentral:rRNA from 1 species